CCUACGGGUGGCAGCAGUGGGGAAUAUUGGUCAAUGGGCGCGAGCCUGAACCAGCCAAGUCGCGUGAGGGAAGACGGCCCUACGGGUUGUAAACCUCUUUUGCCGGGGAGCAACGGGCGCCACGUGUGGCGUCACUGAGAGUACCCGGAGAAAAAGCAUCGGCUAACUCCGUGCCAGCAGCCGCGGUCAUACGGAGGAUGCGAGCGUUAUACGGAUUUAUUGGGUUUAAAGGGUGCGUAGGCGGAGCGUUAAGUCAGUGGUCAAAUUGAGGGGCUCAACCCCUCCCCGCCAGUGAAACUGGCGCUCUUGAGUGGGAGAGAAGUAUGCGGAAUGCGUGGUGUAGCGGUGAAAUGCGUAGAUAUCACGCAGAACCCCGAUGGCGAAGGCAGCAUGCCGGCUUCCGACUGACGCUGAAGCACGAAAGCGUGGGGAUCGAACAGGAUUAGAUACCCUUGUAGUC
rnacentral:rRNA from 1 species